AUGGAAGAACCAGCAGGGGCACCAGCUAAAGAAGAAGCAGCAGCAACACAAGCUAAAGAAGAAACUGUUCAAAACAAGUUUAGGAUGUGUUUGCACCCUGUUUGAAAAGAUCAAUAUGAAAAUAUUGCUAUGUCACAAGAAGACGUAGUUCAUGCUCUUGUUGAUGAGGAUAAUGGGGAGGAAUCGGAUCAUGUCUGUAACACCCAACGUUGACUUUUGGAUUGUAAUAUUGCUAUGUUUUCUUGGAUAUGUAUUUUUUUUUAUGAUAGUUUUAAUUCGAAUUAGAUGCACUUUUGAAGGUGAAUUUGAUUGUAGGAAGUAGUUUAUGGAUGUUUUAACUUUACGAUGUUUAAGUGUUUGAAUAUAGAAAGUAGUUUAUAGUUGUUUAACUUUACGAUGUUCAAGUGUUUGAAUGUAGUUUUAAGGAUAUUUAGAAGUACUUUAAAUUGAAACUUGAGGUUGAAUUUGAUUUUAGAAUGUGAAGUUUAUGAUUGUAGAAGUACUUUGAUGAAUUGGACGUGUUGAUGAAUUGCAUUGUUGA